UCUACCGUGAGGUGGAAUCUGGAGGAAGCCGGCGGCAAAGUCCCGACCUGAGGUACACGAAUCCAAUUUGAGGCUGUUGUAUUCGGGCGAGUCUGCUGAACAAGACGAAGCCCUAUACAGCCAAGGAAUACAGCAGUAAACUUGGGCAGGUACAUGGGAUGAAAGUUAUCGCU
rfam:Brevibacillus brevis NBRC 100599 DNA, complete genome.